rnacentral:tRNA from 1 species
GUAAAUAUAGUUUAAUAAAAACAUUAGAUUGUGGAUCUAACAACAAAAGCUCAAACCUUUUUAUUUACC